GAAAUAAUGCCAACUUAAACCUUCCCUCCCCUAGGGAGCUCUCCCUAACAAUCUGGGCUGGAAAGAGUGUGUUCCUUUAGGAAACAAAGCAUGUAUUACCCAUUGAGAAUCCAUUAUUACUUUGAAUUUUUAGUUUUGUUUUCAUGUGUUGCUUUAUCUUCUUAAUUAAAUUAUCUCUUCUAGGGAGAAGACAUCUUACUCUUAUUGGAUCAUGCACAGUGCCUGAAGCAUUCUGUUGCAUGUAGAAGUCAGUAAAUUGCAGAUGUAAGAUUCAAAACCAGACUUCACAUCUACCGACUUCAGUGACCCUGAAAUUUGUUCACAGAGAGCAUUUAACAUAACUGUCUUCAUCAUCUCCUUCUCUACAUUAAAAAUUAUGGAGGCCUUACAAACUGGUAGAAGAUGCAUAACAGAAGAGCUUAUGAAGUUAAAGAUGACAGCAUAGCAGCACUGGUGAGAUCCUUUUAGACAUAACAUGGUAGGAAGGACUGUUUGACAAAGUGAAUGCCUGUCUUUCAGAAUAUACAGGGAGGUGUGAUGUACCCAUUAUCACAAGCAGAUGGAAUCCCUAUAGAGUCGGAUCUCAUCUACAUAUCACCUAUUAUAUGUAGUUAUUGAUGGAUAAAUACUUCAACAACUAAAGGCAGAAAGAGAGCAGUUCACAAAGACGUUAUUGGUGAUUCAAUCUUGAGUCAUGAAAAGUCAACCUUGAGCCACAAAAAGUCAACCUUGAGCCAAGCAGAUUGGAGAGUCAUACAU
rnacentral:lncRNA from 10 species